AGAAAUAGGUUACCAAUCUCUUAAACUCAAGGAGGUGCAGCAGGAAAUAUUGAGUGUGGAGGAGGAAAUAAUUAAAAGUACAAAAGAAACUGAACAGAGGAUGGAACUGGUAAUUGAAAGAAGUGAUGCUUGACGCAUUGCAGCAGCUUGUCUUCAAGAAAAAAAGCACCUAUCUGAGCAACUGAAUCAUCUAGACAGGAAUCAAAUGCCUUUUUUGGAAGCCUUUUCAAAAAGUACUCGUUGCUGAAAUCCUGGAGGGUAAAAGGCAUCUGAAAGAUAUAAAAGCUUGUAACAUGGCAGCGCAAGCUUGGACCUCUGUGCCAACCAACACAUCUAAAAGAAAUUGAGUUUUUGUCAAUUAAAAGUAUGUUCUGUUCUUAAUGAUUCACUUUAGUACUAACAGUGCA